AACGAACGCUGGCGGCAGGCCUAACACAUGCAAGUCGAGCGAGGACUUCGGUCCUAGCGGCGGACGGGUGAGUAACGCGUGGGAACGUGCCCCUUGGUACGGAAUAGCCCCGGGAAACUGGGAGUAAUACCGUAUGAGCUCUACGGAGGAAAGAUUUAUCGCCAAGGGAUCGGCCCGCGUUGGAUUAGGUAGUUGGUGGGGUAAUGGCCUACCAAGCCGACGAUCCAUAGCUGGUUUGAGAGGAUGAUCAGCCACACUGGGACUGAGACGCGGCACAGACUACUACGGGAGGCAGCAGUGGGGAAUCUUAGACAAUGGGCGCAAGCCUGAUCUAGCCAUGCCGCGUGAGCGAUGAAGGCCUUAGGGUUGUAAAGCUCCUUCAGCUGGGAAGAUAAUGACUGUACCAGCAGAAGAAGCCCCGGCUAACUCCGUGCCAGCCGCCGCAGUAA
rnacentral:rRNA from 1 species